rnacentral:rRNA from 1 species
CUCCUUUGACGUUAGCGGCGGACGGGUGAGUAACACGUGGGUAACCUACCUAUAAGACUGGGAUAACUUCGGGAAACCGGAGCUAAUACCGGAUAAUAUUUCGAACCGCAUGGUUCGAUAGUGAAAGGUGGUUUUGCUAUCACUUAUAGAUGGACCCGCGCCGUAUUAGCUAGUUGGUAAGGUAACGGCUUACCAAGGCUACGAUACGUAGCCGACCUGAGAGGGUGAUCGGCCACACUGGAACUGAGACACGGUCCAGACUCCUACGGGAGGCAGCAGCC